rnacentral:rRNA from 1 species
UACGUAGGGGGCAAGCGUUGUCCGGAAUCAUUGGGCGUAAAGCGCGUGUAGGCGGUUCAGUAAGUCUGCUGUGAAAGUCCAGGGCUCAACCCUGGGAUGCCGGUGGAUACUGCUGGGCUAGAGUGCGGAAGAGGCGAGUGGAAUUCCCGGUGUAGCGGUGAAAUGCGCAGAUAUCGGGAGGAACACCAAUUGCGAAGGCAGCUCGCUGGGACGUUACUGACGCUGAGACGCGAAAGCGUGGGGAGCGAACAGG